AUUGAACGCUGGCGGCAGGCCUAACACAUGCAAGUCGAACGAGUGGCGGACGGGUGAGUAAUGUCUGGGAAACUGCCCGAUGGAGGGGGAUAACUACUGGAAACGGUAGCUAAUACCGCAUACCAUCGGAUGUGCCCAGAUGGGAUUAGCUUGGAGGUGGGGUAACGGCUCACCUAGGCGACGAUCCCUAGCGGGUCUGAGAGGAUGACCGUCCACACUGGAACUGAGACACGGGCCAGACUCCUCCUGGAGGCCGCAGUGGGGAAUAUUGCACAAUGGGCGCAAGCCUGAUGCAGCCAUGCCGCUUGUAUGAAGAAGGCCUUCGGGUUGUAAAGUACUUUCAGCGAGUAGGCGUUACUCGCAGAAGAAGCACCGGCUAACUCCGUGCCAGCAGCCGCGGUAAUAC
rnacentral:rRNA from 1 species